GGGGGGGGGGGGGGGGGGGGGGGGGCCCCUCCCGCGGGUCACGUGGGGCGGUGUCACGUGACCGAGGCGGAAAGGCUCAUGGCGGCAGGGUCCGGUCGUGCCGCCGCUGCCGGGAGGUGCCGGGAGCCUGAUCCAGAGUGUGGAUUAUGGCCAAACUGUUUGCUGUGUUUCUGCCUGCAUGUGUGGACUCUGUGGUGUUGGAUCCAGCCUGUCUCUGCUUGGGAUGCUUGGACCCAUCCAGAUCUUUGCACUCAAAGAUUUUGGUCUCUCUUCAACAAGUUCAAACACAAGAACACUGAGUGCCCAGACGUGAUGUCCUGACUCCAGAGCAGGGAGUGAAGGAAUCGGGGACACCGUACCGGUGUGAAAUUCCUCACAGCUCUCCCUUUGGCUGCCUCCUCUCUCGGUUUGGGGUGGGGACAGCAGCAAGACCCUGGGGAAGCUUCGCUGGUCCCAUCUAAAGAACAACCCCAGCACCAAAGCAGCGUGGGUGCAGCUUGCUCUCUCUCCUCCCUGCCUCCGAAGGCGCUCGGUGGGGCCGGGCGGGCGAUGGGGCUGCGAGGUACCAACAGAGCCGGUCUGUGAAACUUGGCCGGGAGCACAGAGGGAGAUUGAUGUUUGCUCGGGCGCUCAGCCCUCAGCUGUGGGCUCUGCCCGCCCCUGCACCAGCUGGGGACAAAAGCCCCGGCCCCGGGUGGCACUGCAGGGCUGG
rnacentral:lncRNA from 1 species